UCGUCCUCCCGCACGGCCGCACCGCCUCCUCAUUGGAGCCAGUCACCGCCGCCAGGGCCAGAGGCCGAAAGUAGACCGCCGCUCGUCGUUCCACUCCGCGGCUUCCUCCGGCCUUUCCGGUUCCCCCCUAAGGAAGCACCUCUAGCUGAGCAGGGAGGUGUGGCAGGCUCCCGCCCGGCCACGGCAUCCCGGCGUCGGCGGCAUUCCUGUCCUGGCCGUCACCGGCGGCGUGCAGCGGCAGGGACAGCGAAAUCCUCCGCGCUAACGGCUCAGUGCUCAGGUGCUCACGGUGACACGAAUUGUUGAAGAAUGAAGAAGACCGGAGUCCGGAGUCAUGGCUUAUUUGGAUGAAAGUGGUGCUUCUGUGGUCUCAUCGUUUGUUGGAUGAAGACCGGAGACCUGGUAUAUGUUAUUCUCAUCGAAAGUGGUGCUUCUGUGGCUUAUUUGAAUGGAGAACGGAGAUCUGAUUUACACUGCUGUCAUUCUGUACAAUUAUUACCACAGGAAGGAGUCUCUGCGGCUUCUUUUCUCUGAUGCCUAAGGUUUUUAUGAGUGCUCCUCUUUCUGUUGUAGAAGAUUUGCUCGCAUACAUGGUCCAUGAGCCUGAAAACAACUCUGGAUAGGAUGUGACAGCAGCCACAAGCUUGUAAGAUUGAUGUAGAACUCUAUGCAAGUAAAGGUUAUUCAUACAUGGAAAUGUGGCUAAUAUCGGAAGUUGCUGUGCUUCUUCUGGACCUGGUAAGGAAAAUAUGUUUGAUUGGGUAUAGUGCUAACCCCAAGGGUGUCUGGUCAAUCAUAGAAAAGGAAUAUGAUGCAGCAUUUUGUAUUUCACACAAUAACAACCACCAGCAGGUCAGGAAUCGACAAAUAAAAGAACAUUUGGUACUUCGGAUGGACCAUAGAUGCUUCAACAACUGGUAUUUCCAGAGGCGGGGCAUAUAACAGGUAUGAAGGGCUCAGACUUGCGGUGUUCUUGUCGAAACUUUGGCAUUCUCAUUGAGUAAAGAAAUGACGAACCAAGCUGUUCAUCAGUUGAGUGUAAGCAAACCAUAAAUGGCGACCUUGUGGAAAUUUCUCUAGAAGAAUUGAUUAGCAGAUUCACACGGCUGUCAUUCUGUACAAUUACUACCACAGGAGGAGUCUCCACAGCUUCCUUUCGCUGAUGCCAAACGGUUUUUUAUUAGCGCUACUCUUUGUGUUGUAGAAAAUUUGCUUGCAUACUUGAGUAUUGUCCAAUAGCGUGAAAACAACUCUGGAAAGGAUUUGACAUUGCAGCAAUACGAACUUCUGAGAUCUCUGUUGAACUUGAUGUGAGUAAAGGUUAUCCAUACAUGGAAAUGUGGCUAAUAUUGGAAGUUGCUGGACCCGACAAGGAAAAAAAUGUUUGAUUGGUUAUAGUGCUAACCCCAAGGGUGUCUGGUCAAUCAUAGAAACGGAAUAUGAUACAGCCGCUGGUAUUUAACACAAUACGAACCAGCCAGCAGGCCAGGAAUGGACAAAUAAAAACAUCUUUGCUACUAUGGAUGGACCAUAGAUGCUUAACAACUAGUAUUUCCAGAGGUAUGGAGGACGCAGAUCGAUGAAACUUUGGCAUUCUCAUUGAGUAAAGAACGGACGAGUACCAAGCUGUUCAUCGUUGAGCAUAAGUAAACCAUGAAUGACAGCCUUCUGAACAUGUCUCUACAAGAAUUGCUUAGCAGGCCUCUGUUGACCUUGGAGGUGGUGGCAGGGAGAGAUGGCUGCUUGACGUGCUCGCUCUCCUAGGGCUUCCUUUAGGAGGCCUUUGUCUUCAUCAAGUGCCUCCACACCUAUUCACACGGCUGUCAUUUUGUAUAAUUACUACCACAGGCAGCUUUUUAUCACUGAGGCCACACAGUUUUUAUGAGUUCUCCUCUUUCAGUUGUGUAGAAGAGUUCCUCCCAUACUUGAGUAUGGUCCAUGAGCAUGAAAACAACUCCAGAAAGGAUGUGACAGAGCAAUAAUACAAGCUUGUGAGUAGCAAUACAAUGUGAGUAAAGGUUAUCCAUACAUGGAAAUGUGGCUAAUAUUGGAAGUUGUUGUGAUUCUUCUGGACCCGACAAGGAAAAAAUGUUUGAUUUGAGUAUAGUGCUAACCCCAAGGGUGUCUGGUCAAUCAUAGAAAAAGAAUAUGAUGCAGCAGCUGGUAUUUAACACAAUACAACCUGCUAGCAGGCCAGGAAUCGACAAAUAAAAGAACCUUUGGUACUUUGGGUGGACCAUAGAUGCUUCAUCAGCUAGUAUUUCCAGAGUUGGAUCGUAGAACAUGUCAGAUUUAAUCAUUACAACCCUUAGUUUAUACAUCCAUAUCAGUCGUUUUCAGUUGAGUUAGCAAGGUUUCCUCACUUGGGCUUCCAGCCAGAAUUUGUAUGUCAUCAAACAUACUGAUCAAAGGAAGAGGAGGAUCAGAGUUUCUCUUAAUUUUGUUCAUAAGGGUUUGCAUGAGUGUCUGUUUCAAAUUGUCCUAAAUUUGAACUGCUAAUAAACCUAAAAUAUGAGUUCAAGUUGUGCACUUGCUUCACAGAAAACGAGAACUUAUUUGCCGUGACACUGUUCCUCUCAUUUGUUUUGGUUGUGUACGAGAUGCUAAUAACUGAAACUUGAUUUAAUUUUGUCAAGUAGCUUAUUGAAAAUAACCUGGAACACUA